UUAAGCGACUAAGCGUACACGGUGGAUGCCCUGGCAGUCAGAGGCGAUGAAGGACGUGCUAAUCUGCGAUAAGCGUCGGUAAGGUGAUAUGAACCGUUAUAACCGGCGAUUUCCGAAUGGGGAAACCCAGUGUGAUUCGUCACACUAUCAUUAACUGAAUCCAUAGGUUAAUGAGGCGAACCGGGGGAACUGAAACAUCUAAGUACCCCGAGGAAAAGAAAUCAACCGAGAUUCCCCCAGUAGCGGCGAGCGAACGGGGAGCAGCCCAGAGCCUGAAUCAGUGUGUGUGUUAGUGGAAGCGUCUGGAAAGGCGCGCGAUACAGGGUGACAGCCCCGUACACAAAAAUGCACAUGCUGUGAGCUCGAUGAGUAGGGCGGGACACGUGGUAUCCUGUCUGAAUAUGGGGGGACCAUCCUCCAAGGCUAAAUACUCCUGACUGACCGAUAGUGAACCAGUACCGUGAGGGAAAGGCGAAAAGAACCCCGGCGAGGGGAGUGAAAAAGAACCUGAAACCGUGUACGUACAAGCAGUGGGAGCACAGAGCAAUCUGUGUGACUGCGUACCUUUUGUAUAAUGGGUCAGCGACUUAUAUUCUGUAGCAAGGUUAACCGAAUAGGGGAGCCGAAGGGAAACCGAGUCUUAACUGGGCGUUAAGUUGCAGGGUAUAGACCCGAAACCCGGUGAUCUAGCCAUGGGCAGGUUGAAGGUUGGGUAACACUAACUGGAGGACCGAACCGACUAAUGUUGAAAAAUUAGCGGAUGACUUGUGGCUGGGGGUGAAAGGCCAAUCAAACCGGGAGAUAGCUGGUUCUCCCCGAAAGCUAUUUAGGUAGCGCCUCGUGAAUUCAUCUCCGGGGGUAGAGCACUGUUUCGGCAAGGGGGUCAUCCCGACUUACCAACCCGAUGCAAACUGCGAAUACCGGAGAAUGUUAUCACGGGAGACACACGGCGGGUGCUAACGUCCGUCGUGAAGAGGGAAACAACCCAGACCGCCAGCUAAGGUCCCAAAGUCAUGGUUAAGUGGGAAACGAUGUGGGAAGGCCCAGACAGCCAGGAUGUUGGCUUAGAAGCAGCCAUCAUUUAAAGAAAGCGUAAUAGCUCACUGGUCGAGUCGGCCUGCGCGGAAGAUGUAACGGGGCUAAACCAUGCACCGAAGCUGCGGCAGCGACGCUUAUGCGUUGUUGGGUAGGGGAGCGUUCUGUAAGCCUGCGAAGGUGUGCUGUGAGGCAUGCUGGAGGUAUCAGAAGUGCGAAUGCUGACAUAAGUAACGAUAAAGCGGGUGAAAAGCCCGCUCGCCGGAAGACCAAGGGUUCCUGUCCAACGUUAAUCGGGGCAGGGUGAGUCGACCCCUAAGGCGAGGCCGAAAGGCGUAGUCGAUGGGAAACAGGUUAAUAUUCCUGUACUUGGUGUUACUGCGAAGGGGGGACGGAGAAGGCUAUGUUGGCCGGGCGACGGUUGUCCCGGUUUAAGCGUGUAGGCUGGUUUUCCAGGCAAAUCCGGAAAAUCAAGGCUGAGGCGUGAUGACGAGGCACUACGGUGCUGAAGCAACAAAUGCCCUGCUUCCAGGAAAAGCCUCUAAGCAUCAGGUAACAUCAAAUCGUACCCCAAACCGACACAGGUGGUCAGGUAGAGAAUACCAAGGCGCUUGAGAGAACUCGGGUGAAGGAACUAGGCAAAAUGGUGCCGUAACUUCGGGAGAAGGCACGCUGAUAUGUAGGUGAAGUCCCUCGCGGAUGGAGCUGAAAUCAGUCGAAGAUACCAGCUGGCUGCAACUGUUUAUUAAAAACACAGCACUGUGCAAACACGAAAGUGGACGUAUACGGUGUGACGCCUGCCCGGUGCCGGAAGGUUAAUUGAUGGGGUUAGCGCAAGCGAAGCUCUUGAUCGAAGCCCCGGUAAACGGCGGCCGUAACUAUAACGGUCCUAAGGUAGCGAAAUUCCUUGUCGGGUAAGUUCCGACCUGCACGAAUGGCGUAAUGAUGGCCAGGCUGUCUCCACCCGAGACUCAGUGAAAUUGAACUCGCUGUGAAGAUGCAGUGUACCCGCGGCAAGACGGAAAGACCCCGUGAACCUUUACUAUAGCUUGACACUGAACAUUGAGCCUUGAUGUGUAGGAUAGGUGGGAGGCUUUGAAGUGUGGACGCCAGUCUGCAUGGAGCCGACCUUGAAAUACCACCCUUUAAUGUUUGAUGUUCUAACGUGGACCCGUAAUCCGGGUUGCGGACAGUGUCUGGUGGGUAGUUUGACUGGGGCGGUCUCCUCCUAAAGAGUAACGGAGGAGCACGAAGGUUGGCUAAUCCUGGUCGGACAUCAGGAGGUUAGUGCAAUGGCAUAAGCCAGCUUGACUGCGAGCGUGACGGCGCGAGCAGGUGCGAAAGCAGGUCAUAGUGAUCCGGUGGUUCUGAAUGGAAGGGCCAUCGCUCAACGGAUAAAAGGUACUCCGGGGAUAACAGGCUGAUACCGCCCAAGAGUUCAUAUCGACGGCGGUGUUUGGCACCUCGAUGUCGGCUCAUCACAUCCUGGGGCUGAAGUAGGUCCCAAGGGUAUGGCUGUUCGCCAUUUAAAGUGGUACGCGAGCUGGGUUUAGAACGUCGUGAGACAGUUCGGUCCCUAUCUGCCGUGGGCGCUGGAGAAUUGAGGGGGGCUGCUCCUAGUACGAGAGGACCGGAGUGGACGCAUCACUGGUGUUCGGGUUGUCAUGCCAAUGGCACUGCCCGGUAGCUAAAUGCGGAAGAGAUAAGUGCUGAAAGCAUCUAAGCACGAAACUUGCCCCGAGAUGAGUUCUCCCUGACUCCUUGAGAGUCCUGAAGGAACGUUGAAGACGACGACGUUGAUAGGCCGGGUGUGUAAGCGCAGCGAUGCGUUGAGCUAACCGGUACUAAUGAACCGUGAGGCUUAACCUU
rnacentral:rRNA from 1 species